CCUACGGGGGGCUGCAGUGGGGAAUCUUGGACAAUGGGCGCAAGCCUGAUCCAGCCAUGCCGCGUGAGUGAUGAAGGCCCUAGGGUUGUAAAACUCUUUCGUGGGGGACGAUAAUGACGGUACCCCAAGAAGAAGCUCCGGCUAACUUCGUGCCAGCAGCCGCGGUAAUACGAAGGGGGCUAGCGUUGUUCGGAUUUACUGGGCGUAAAGCGCGUGUAGGCGGGCUGGAAAGUUGGGGGUGAAAUCCCGAGGCUCAACCUCGGAACUGCCUCCAAAACUUCCAGCCUGGACUCAAGUAGAGGCAAGUGGAAUUGCGAGUGUAGAGGUGAAAUUCGUAGAUAUUCGCAGGAACACCAGUGGCGAAGGCGACUUGCUGGACUUGUAGUGACGCUGAGACGCGAAAGCGUGGGGAGCAAACAGGAUUAGAUACCCCGGUAGUC
rnacentral:rRNA from 1 species